UUAGGUUAAUUGACCUUAAUUGAUUAAAGGACAACACCCAAAGCCUGCAGAGCAGGGGAGUGAUGCCAGGGGGAAGCCAGCACAGAGGCUGAGACCGAAGCUGGAGUUACUGUGGAGCAAAAAGACUCUCAGCUGUGAAAAAGGAAGCUUGAAAGCCCUGAUGGUCUGUCAAGCUGAGGCUCUCAAGAACUUUGGUCCUGGAUCCAGUACACAGAGCAUGGUGUGUUACUCAGCCUACAGAGGGAAGUUCUUUAACGUCCUUAUGACUGACUCACAGAUUUCUGCUUAUACACAUUUUUACCAUUAAGAUAACAUUUCAAAACAGGCCAAAGCUGUGCUAGAAAAUGUCUUCACUUCAAAAUCAAAAUCUAAUUUUAAUGGAAAAUGAAUAUGUGAAAAACAUGGAAUAAAAUAUAGCCUUUCAAAGAACAGGUCUUAGUAGGUUUCCUAAUUAAAAUAUGAAGCAGAAUUUAAACAAAAGACUAUUCAUCAUUUCAAACUUUUCUUUUAUCACUACAUUUUUCACAGUUCCAGCAGUAAGCUGAACUGCAAGCUGUCAAAAUAAAAAAGUAACAUUGUGUACUAAUGAGAAACUGAUAUAAGGCUUGAUUUUAAUAACUUGAUACUUCCAUAUAAUUGUCUCAAAGUUGACAGAAGAUUUUAAUAUCUUUUUAUUGGAAUGCUUACAACUAAGAAAGAUGUAAUUGUUUGUGCCAGCCUCCACACCAAUGCCACUCAAUUAUCUUUCACUCUUAUGUUACUUACCAACUCUGGUGAUAUUUAUUCACUUUUGUAACUUGAGUUUAAACCAUUUAAAGUUUAAAACUGAGAUUAUAGAUAAGUUAAACAUAAUUAAAAACUUUGAAUUCCUUUUAUCAUUUUAUAUUCUAUGAAAAUAAUUUCUUCUAUAUGCAAAAGACCAUUCAUUGGUACUUGUUUGGAAAAUGAUUUUUUCUAUAAAUUGAGACACCAGACAGGUGACUGAUGUUUGACAAUUGAAGGUGGCUGCUUGUAAGUAAAAAUAACAGGUGAAGUUUUUUGCCAUCCUUGGAAUACUUUUGACUAAUAGAAGUUAAUCAAGAUGCAUUGUAAGUACUAAGAAUUAAAGGCUUGGCAAC